CCCUUAGAUGUCCUGGGCCGCACGCGCGUUACACUGAUGCAUUCAACGAGCUUAUAACCUUGGCCGAGAGGCCUGGGCAAUCUUGUUAACGUGCAUCGUGAUGGGGAUAGAUUAUUGAAAUUAUUAAUCUUGAACGAAGAAUUCCUAGUAAACGCAGAUCAUCAAUCUGCAUUGAUUACGUCCCUGCCCUUUGUACACACCGCCCGUCGCACCUACCGAUUGGAUGGUCCGGUGAAGCCUCGGGAUUGUGGUUCUUGCCGCUUUAUUGUGGCGUGACCGCGAGAACUUGUCUAAACCUUAUCAUCUAGAGGAAGGUGAAGUCGUAACA
rnacentral:rRNA from 1 species